UUCCAGCUCAGAUGUGACCAAUUCUAUCAGUGGGGAUGAAGAACGUCAAAAGUUGCCAAUCAUUGGGGAAGAGGAAAUGACUAUGCAACAAGAUAUGGAAGGAGCUAAAGGGGAAGAUGAAGAAAACGAUCACCGGGACAGAAAGAACA